rnacentral:lncRNA from 1 species
UAUCCUACCAGCAAGGGCUUGAAGCUCCUCUCGUAGGGAUCUACCAAGCUCGGUGAUCAUGCAUUUGGCGGCUCGCAUGAUCUCUUCAUUCUCCUGAACAACAUUGUCGAUUUGUUCGGAGAGUUCUCCCACAACAGCUUCUUGACUGGACACGGCUUGCUCAAGAGCUGCAAAUCUUUGCUCCACAUGAUCCACAGGAGAGGUUCGUACCUUAGACUUCCCCCUCUUAGACCGAGUGCGCGCCUGCUCGCGGCCUCGAAUGGCUUCUACUUGCUCGGGUUGUUGUUCCUCCGCAACAACCACUUGAGCUUCAUCAUUAGCCAUUAGUCAAGGCAAGGGACUUGGGACCUAGGACGGAACCUGCUCUGAUACCACCUGUCACGGAGAGGGGAUUUUGCUAUGCCUACGGCACUUAGUCGCCUUUGGUUGCUAGGACGAGCUAAGUAAGCCUUUAAGUUGUAUUGGAGCGAAAAUGAGAGCUAAAUAGAGAAGAGAACACAAGAGAGCUUGUAAGAACACUCAAAUGCUUUGUAUUACUUGAAUUGCUUGGUUAAGCUUGGUUGAUUUACAAAUGAGGUGAGGGGUGGUAUUUAUAGCCACUUCCACCUCCUUAAUGGACGGCUAGGAUUUAGCCUACAA